CGCCACUGUUGUAGAUCCGGAGAUCAGGUCAUCAACGUACAGUUCAUCUCGAAGUUUAGCUACGAUGUCCGGUUCUCGGUCCUCCCAGGUGCUCAAAUGCAUGUCAAGAACUCCCCCCAGCAAGAAUGGGGAGGGAGCUAGACCAAAAGGCACUCUAGCAAAUCUCAAAAUUUCAACGUCAGACUGUCCGUCCGUCUGCCAAUGGAAGCGGAGAGCAUCACGAUCGGGUUCCCUCACUCGAAUCUGAUGAAACGCUUUCUGUAAAUCACCAUUCAAU